rnacentral:rRNA from 1 species
UACGAAGGGGGCUAGCGUUGCUCGGAAUCACUGGGCGUAAAGGGUGCGUAGGCGGCUCUUUAAGUCCGGGGUGAAAUCCUGGAGCUCAACUCCAGAACUGCCUUUGAUACUGAAGGUCUUGAGUUCGGGAGAGGUGAGUGGAACUGCGAGUGUAGAGGUGAAAUUCGUAGAUAUUCGCAAGAACACCAGUGGCGAAGGCGGCUCACUGGCCCGAUACUGAUGCUGAGGCACGAAAGCGUGGGGAGCAAACAGG